GGGAUAACUAACAAAUCUUAAGAAGGAAGCAAGCCUUUAUUUCUUUUUCUUCCGGUGAGUUCGUCGACCCUCUUUCACUCUUUCGUUAAUCUUAAUUUUUAUUUUGUUUCAAGCAUGAAAGGGACGAGCCACCAUUUCUGAGAAUAUGUUAGCGAACUCUUCUAGGUAAGAAUCACUUAAUCAAGCUUCCUCUGUAUUCAAAAUUGAAGAAGCUUUCCUACAUCAUUCCUUAUUAUUUUUCGAAAAUAGGGGUAUUGGGAGGGGAGUCAGUUUGAUCUUGAAUUAUGUUAAUUCUUAUGUGUUUAAGCUAGUUUUUUAUUAGAAUUAAGUAGUAUGAUGGAAGAAAUCAAAAUCCUACCCUAAAGCCCCAAAUUUUCAAUCCCUCCCAUGAACCCUAGAAUCUAUUUCCUACAUGUUUGCAUCAAUUGGCUAUGUAUAUACGUUUAUAUACAUUAAGAUGAUGUAUUUGAGUUGGUAUAGCUUUUAUUUGAUAAAAAUAUGAGUAUAUGUUGAGCUAAUACGAAUAAGGUAUUGCUGUUAGUUUUGCUGUACAGGACAGUACCUUGUAAGGUAUUUUCGGGAGUGUUCCCGUGGUCCAAAUGACUUGAAAUUUUUAUAGUAAUACUUCAUUAUAAGUAGUAGAUCUCUGAAAAAUUUCACAGAUCCGCCGUCUGUAUUUGUAUGAUUAUGGCUGGCAGAUUCUGUCUUUCUUGAUAUACUAGUACGCGCGCCCGUGCGAUGCACGGUUAACAUCAAAAUUAAAUGAUAUUUAAAAUAAAUAAAUAUAAUUAAAAUAUAAGUAAAUGUAAAUCAUUUGUUUAAAAGUGAAAUAAUUCACAUCAAUUAUUUAAUAAAAAAUAUGAAUAUGAAAGCAUAUGAAUUUUUAAUUUUCAAUAUUUGAAAUAUUUAAUUUUAAUUAAUAAUGAGUACAAAUAUGUAAAUUUAUCCGUUUAAAUACAAAUUUUAUAAAUAAAGUUUCCAAAAAAUUGAUUUUUCAAAAAGAGAUAGGAUUUAUUUUCAUAAAUAACAAUUGCCAAUUAAUUACGUAAAUUAAAGAACUUUAAAUUGAGCUAAUAUAAUAAAAAUAAAACAAAAUUACUAUAAAAAAGAAAAUAAAACAAAAUUACUAUAAAAAAAGAAUAAAGAUAAAAAGUCGUAACAUUUUAUUGAAAGAAAGAAAAAAGAAGAGUGGAGAGAGGAGAGAUGAGAGAAAAAAAAUAGAUUUUUAUGAUUUGAAACGAUUUUAACUUUUUCGAGUUAAUUUUUUAUAUACAUAAAAUUUACAUCAAAUUAAAGAUCUUGUCAUGAUCUUUAGUUUAAGAUCCAUAUUGAAUAUUUUUUAUUAAUCGAAUUUGAUGAUUUUUAGAAAAGAACAAAAAAAAGGAGAAGUGAGAGAAAAAUUCAUGGAAAUCAUAUUUAAUCAAAUACUAAUAUGGAUGUUAAAAUGGGUGAGAGAACGUGUAGAUGAGGGAGAUAGGAGAGAGAAAAUGUGAUAAAAUAGGUGAUAGAUGAGAGAGAAAAAUUGGCGCCAAAAAAGAGCCGUUAGAAACUGAUGUUUCAUAUAUAUAUAGAUUUUCUUAUACACUUGAGAUAUUGCAUUUUUGUAAAUUUUCAUUAAAAAUAGACUUUAAGAGCUUUCUAAAAAGGUAAAUCAUGUAUUUUUCUUUGAAGAGGUUGAUUUUAUAUGAUAUUUGAAAGUUGAGAUUCAUAUAUGAUUACAUAUUUGAAGUUACUACUUGGGAUAGUUGAGUAGAACUAUGCUUAAGUCAUUGGUCAAUUCUUGAAUUGAUGGUUUAGUUAUUAAUUGUAAGCUAAUCUAUAUAGAAUGGAUUAGUUUGCUCUUUUCAACUUGAGAUAUCCCAAGAGAUAUGAUGUUACUGUUUGCUUUUAGUUAGUUAAGUCCAUAAAAGUAGAAUACUCAGAUUAGAGGAUACAACUUUCAAGCGAUAGAAGUUUCAUUCAAGAUUUAUUUCCUAUUUACUCACUUAUUAUCAAUCUUACCUGGGAACCUCAUUAUAAUGAAGGUUCGAGUGGCAGUGUAGAAUGAACAAGCAAAGACUUCUAUUUCAUUAAGCGUAUCAGGUGGGCUUACUAACUCAAGAAGUAAAGAUGCAUACUUUAUUAUAUAAAGUUUGAGUGUAUACGUUUAUUUUCCAAUUAUUGACUUGCCAAUAUUUGAAAUUUGUAUGUGCCACGACCGGUCCUAAUUAAGGAUAAUUAAGCCGGGAAAUCGUGGCUAAUGGAGGGAGAUUAGAAGCGGGGUAGAAAGGGGAAUAAUCAAACAAGAAAGGAUCGUAUUUCAUCAUUGUUAACAACAUGGAUAUCUAUAAUAUAACAGAGUUUUUGUCGUAUAGACUCAAAUAACUAACAAGUUCGGAUAACUCCGACUUAUCCAAAAUAACAUAAAACUUCUGAGUACGCAGCGGAAUAAGGUUCUGAUUACAUGUAUGAAGACAUGUAACCCUAGAGUUCAUUAAUACAUAAUAAGACAAAAGAGUCCCGCUCGUCACUUCAUCACCAUCGGCAGCUGCUCAACCUGCACAUUUAGAAAUAUAUGCAGGGCUGAGUACAAAAGUACUCAGUGGACACGUAUGCCUAAUUAUAAAAAUACAUGCUUCAAAACUGUAAAUUGUCAUGCCAUCAUAAACAGUACAGCAAGGGAGUUUUUCGCUAAAAAGGCCCAAGCUUACUAAAUUCAUUUGUGAUUCUUAAAGUUCGUCUGCAGACUAAGUUCUCUUGUAAUCUAUCAUAUCUGGAACUGUGUGCCGGAGAGGUGGCCACCUCUCACGGACACUUGACCGGCCAACCCGCUAGAUGACUCACGGUCACUGGUGUACACUAGCCCUGGCAGGAUAGCUAUCAACUGCUCAAGACCCGAAUUCGAUUACAUGAUAAAAGUCACAUCAGAUAGAUAUCAUACUGAAAUUUAAACAUUUUAUGGCAAGACAAUAUUUAGAAAUAACUUCAAUUAAUUUAGUCAUGAAAUAACUUGCUUGAACGUAACAUUUAAACUCAUUUGAUAUAUAUGAAAGUAAUGCCACCUGAUAGAAAUUUCUGUGGUACAGUAGCUCCUUGACUGAUUAUUAAUCUCGUGCUUGACCUUUAUUACGAGAAUAUAAAUAAGAUAUUGCUCGAGUAAAAUCCUCAAUUAAUGAGAAUGCGUAAUUUAACUAUGCAUGACUCUUAUGCAUGAUUUAUUAUUCUGAGAUAAUAAUCAGGGAAUUUCUAUUAUUAAUCCUACUAUCGGAUCAAAUAAAUACAAUAAGGUUUCGUCUCAUGAGGUCGGAUAAUUAACUAAAAUAAUCCGUUCUCUUCGGGUGUUCUAAUCCGUCAAUUAAAUAAACCCCGUUCCUCGUAGUCAAUAGAAAAUAAAUAAACUUCAACUUAUUCGCUUUAUAACCUCAUAAUUAAUCGGGCUUAAUAAAUAGGAACAAGUAAUGUUAUAAGAUUAAAUAAUUAAAAGGCUCAACAUAAGGCAGCCUAAUAAUCACAAUCAAACAUCAUCAAAACAUGCUCUGCUUUUACACUGACUCAACUUCAAAAUUUAAUCUGUUCUGACUCCGACAUCUCCUGGACUCGAGACUCAUACCGAAAGAAAGAUCUUCGAGUCUAGUUUCAUAUAAAAAAAAAUAGAGUCGAAAACUCCAAGUGGUUUGAGAGAUAUGACGUUUUUACCACGAUCUACCAUGUUCGGCAGUUUUGAACAAUCGAAAACUUGUAUUUUUGAAAAAUAGUAAACGUUGUCAAACUGGGCUCAACUUUGGUGGAUAUCUAAAUAACACAAUAAGGUUAAUACCAUAAAAAUUUGGAAAGCUAGAUCACCCAGGAAGCUACUGAAAUAAAUGACUCUUUUCUCUGUUCUCUGAAAUUCUCAGUAGUAAUGUGCAGUUUAGGUUUUGCAUUUUAAAGAAGUAUCAUACGAAGUUGGAAUGGCUUGAAAUUUUACCAGGGUACUCAAGACUCAUGUAGGGACUUGCUAUAAAAUUUUCAAAGCUGUUAGACAUCGACAAACCGUCGAUCACAGUAGGUCAGUAGGCCUACGAAAUUCAUAUUUAUAAGUCCUUAAAAAUAAUUUAUAUAAAUCAAGAAAUAAUAGUUUAAUCCCAAAAAUAUUCAUUAAAAGUCCAUCCUAAUUUAAAUAAAGAACGGACCUCAUUUAAAAUAAAUAGUCCCAAACUUGUUACGCACAUAUACUAAAUCUUUCACGAAACAUCCUUUAAAAUAAACUUUGAUACAUAGAAAAUAAUUCAACAACUUGAGCUCUUAAGGGGUUGUUUUACAACAGACACCAAAUCUACCUCGGAUCUCCAAAUGAGGCUCCAAAAGACAUUCUGGAAACUAGACAUUUCAAGGAUCAUUCUCCAAUUUGAAUCGAAUGAAAAACAAUUCAAACGAGCAAGAUAUGCCUCUCAAAGAUGGGUAUUUAACAAGCAAAAAUCUGUAAAUUUCAUAUUUCCAGAUUACAACCAAGUCAGUGGGCUUUCUUUAAAAAUUACAUAUCUCCCUUUACAAAACUCCACUGGGAACCCCAAAGGUCAAUCUGGAAACUAGGGAGAGAUCAUAACACUCUCCAGUUGGAUUUACUCUAAGAACCUUCAUGGUUUAGAAGAUAUGACUAUCUAAAGUUCAGUGCACAAAAAGAGUUCAAGUUUGGCAGAUUCAGAACAUAAAUCGGAAAAACCACUUUAAGCUUCACCAAAAAUUCUAAAACUGAACAAGUAAGUUCCCAACAUGUCAGUGAAUAUUCAGUAGAAAGAUAGGCUUGAGAAUCAAAUAUUUAAGUCGGCCUUUUCCACCUCAAAGUCGUAGGUUUGUAAAUCUACUGGAUGGUACAUGGAAUAAGAACUAGAUUUCAAGAAUUAUACCGGUUGUUUCCCUUAACUCAAAAAUGGUAGAGGCCGAUGUCAAAAGAAAGAUACGGGAGUCUAGAGUGACUAUAUUCAAGUUUCAAAGGUUUUCACCGAUUGAAACUUACUUAUGAUCUCCCAAAGAUUAGUUUACCAAAAAUAGUAUUCCAGAUGGGCAGUGAUGUUUACUAAAUUACUAUAAAUAAAUACAUAGCGAGCUCUAAAUAUUACUUGAAAUUUUACCUAAAAUAAUAGAAAAUGUAUGAAAGAUGAUACACAAUUAAUUUGGGAAUUUUUGGGAACCAUUUGGAUGGCUGGAAUCGCCUUGCAAAACACUGCCGGAGCAGUGUGCUUAUGGCAGAUUCGCUGCCUUACCUCAUGCACGGUUUUUCACCCAAUAAACUCUAGCUUCGAGUGUUGGGGGUACUACUGGACUGGAGCAGCUUGAAAUCUUGGCAAAGUAGUUAAGCCAAGUCUUCCUUCUCUUUGUGAUUGCUGGUGCGAAAAUGGAAGGAAUGGGUGAAGUGUUGGAGUUGUGGGGAGCAAAGGUAGUGGAGAUGGUGGGGAGCAUAGGGUAGUGGAGUUGAUGGAGUGGGGAACAAAAUUAAUGGAAAGAAAAAGAGAAGAAAAAGAAAGGAAAAAAAAAUAGUAGAGGAGAAUUAUUGAUGUAUUUUCUCUGUCUCGGUGAUUCUGUAACCGUAAGAUGGAUCGUGUGCUCGUAUAUGCUUGAUACUGUUUAUUUAAAUAAAUCUCGUAUUUCGACAUGUGAUUUCUCGCUUAAAUCGAUAAAUUAUAAAAUGAAUCUAAAUUAAAUCCGUAGAUUGUGACACCCCGAAUAUUUAGAUUUAUUAUAUAAGUUUAAUUAUUAGUAUUUUCUUGUUAUAGCUUAUUAUUAUUUUUAGAUAAUUACGUGAUAUAUAUAGAUAUGUAGCAUUAAAAUUGAUCAAGAUUAUUAUUAUUAUUAUUAUUAUUAUUAUUAUUAUUAUUAUUAUUAUUAUUAUUAUUAUUAUUAUUAUUAUUAUUAUUUGUUUCCUAUUAGAAUUAGAACUCUUUAAAAACUAGUAUAAAUAUGAGAUCAAUUUUCAAACCCUAAGACACACCCGUAGAACCCGAAGCAGCCAUCAAUUAUAGGUACAUUCUUCUCUUUUUUUAUUCUUUUACGCAAGGUUUUACGAAAAUUUCUCUAAAUAAUAAGCCUUCAAAUUUUAGUAGUUUUUACACAAGUUUUAGGAAUCGGUACUUUUCAAUUAUUUCUUUUAAGUUUCAAUUAGUCUGUUUUGGUAUAUAUAUUUGAAUAGUUAGAUAGUUGACUUUUAUUGGAAAUUGUACAUCGAAGGUGGUAGUAUGCCAAGUCUUAUUUCUUUCGUUACAUCAUUGAUUAAGUUUCAAAACAUUAAAUGAGUUUAAAUUAAAUAGUAUCAUUUCAUGAUUGUUUUAUUACUUUAAAUUCUUAAAGUUUCACACUGAAGUUAUUUUUAUAAACGAUUUUUUCAUCUCAUCUUUAGAUAGAAAAGUUCUUUUACAUAUUUAUUUUAGUAUACAGUUAGUUUGACUCCAAAAAAAUUUUAUUUUCCUAUAUUCAAGAAUUCAUAUAUAUGUACACACAUAUAUAAAUAUAUAUAUGCACGAUUAAUUUAUUAUAGUAUAUAUAUGAUUAUAUAGGAUUUGAUAUAGGAUGUUAGUUUAAAUUAUUGUAGGAUUUUUAUUAAGCGUUGUAUUUAUUGAAUUAGGUGCGGUACGAUUAAGAUCUUCAUUCCGGAUUUUUAGUCUCGACAUUAAGGUGAGGGAUUAUAUGCUGGUUGUUAUAUUCAUGUAUGUUUGAAUGUGCUUUUAGUUCAUAUUUGAUUAUGCUUGCUCAGAUACAUGUCUAGAUACAUGUUCAGAAUAUCAUGUUCAAGUACAUGAUCAGAAACGCAAAAAUAUCAUGUUCAAGUACAUGAUCAGAACGCAGAAUAUCAUGUUCAAGUACAUGAUCAGAACGCAGAAUAUCAUGUUCAAGUACAUGAUCAGAAAAUUUAGAAACACUCAGAAUUCAGUAUAUGUGUAUGAUGACAAUGUGAAUUAUUUGCAUGUUUAAGUGUAUGUGAAUAUGUGCAUGAUUCUUCACUGAGUAUAUAUAUUUUUCAAUAUGCUCAUCCCUUAUCUUUUCAGUUUUGCUAGUUUUGGAGUCGAGGUGGCCAUGGAAGUCGAGAAUGACUAGAGAUUUUGUAUUUCCAUAGAAAUUUAAGUUGAACAUGUUACUUUUUAGUUUAUCAUUUUAUUUCAUGUUACUACUUUAGUUUUGGCAAGUUGAUUUUAAAUUGGUUAAACUUUUAUAAUUCAAGAAUUUUAUUUAACUAUUAGUUCUUCAAGGUUUUUAGUAUUGAAAAGUUUAAGAAAAUUGGGGUGUUACAUAGUGGUAUCAGAGCGGGUCUACGUUCCUGUAGACUCGUGUUUUAAAAGAAAAUUUGCUUUCAAAAGAUUAAAUGAUCUUAGUCAUUCGAAACUCAUGUGCUGCAUCGACUUCAGGUAUGUGUUUUAAUUGUUCAAGUUUAUGGCAGUUAUGAUGUGUUACAUGACAUUUUUUUUUAUGAUGCUUUUAUGUUCAAGUAUUACUACGUUUAGAUCCAAUAAAAAAAAAGUUGGAAUUCUGAAAUUAUUUUGACGACACAAAUGAAGCUUGAUUAGAAAUUUCGAGGACAAAAUUAUUUUAAGUGGGAUAGGUUGUUACACCCCUAAUAUUUAGAUUUAUUAUAUAGGUUGAAUUAUUAGUAUUUUCUUUUAUAGCUUAUUUUUUUUAGAUAAUUACAUGAUACAAAUAGAUAUGCACCAUUAAUUUUUUUGUCUAGACUAUUAUUAUUAUUAUUAUUAUUAUUAUUAUUAUUAUUAUUAUUAUUAUUAUUAUUAUUAUUAGAACUAGAACUCUUUUAUUAUAUUUAUUUUUUAUCUUAUUAGGAGAUAUACACAGGAUACAAUCUUUAUAUUUAUCAAACUCUUUCUAAACUAGUAUAAAUAGAGACACGAUUUUACCCUAAGAAGACAGACGCAGAACUCUAAGCCAAUAUUGAGAAUCGGUACCUUCCUCUCACUUAUUUUGUUUUACGCAAGGUUUUGUUAAAUUAACUUAGCCCACGUUUGGUUGGGUGUUUUUAGAGGUAGGAAAGGGAAUCAAGUAAUUGAAUCCAUUACUUGUUGUUUGGUUUGAGUAAUGGGAUAAUCAUUACCCUUACUUGAGGGUAUUCCAAUCACCCAAUUUGUCGCCCCUUAAAAUAGAGGGAAAACAAAAGAAAGGGAAUCCCUUACUAAUGAUUCAUUUCCAUUGUUAAACCAAACACUCAAUAAAAGUAAUGGUUAUUGUUACCAUUCCACUCCUUUAUUUGAUUCCAUUCCCUUUCCAUUCCUCUACUUGAACCAAACGAGCACUUAUUUGUUUCAAACUGUAAGUGUUCAAUUUUUUUAGUAGUUGUUAAUACUUAAUUUUUUUACACUCAUGAAAAUCGACGCUACAUCAAUACUCUUUCAACUUUCUUUCUUUUAAGUUUCAAUUAGUGGAUUAUGGCAAUCAAGUUUUUAAUCUGUUUUCAUAAAUUCGAAUAACUUAUAGUUAGACUUCUAUUAAAAAUUUUAUAUAUAAUAUUUUUUUAACCACAUCAAAAGUGGUGGCUGCCGAAUUUUUAGUAGUUAACUAAGUUUUUGAGAUUUAAUUACUUUGGAUUAAAACUUUAACAUGUUUAUUGCAUUGUUUUUAAAGCAAAAUAUUAUUUUAAUAAAGAUAUUUAGUUCCUAAAAGUUUUCGAUUACAGAAUCUUAUAUAUUUUUUUCGUAUGCUUAAGAAUAUAUAUACAUAUAUAUAUAUAUAUAUAUAUAUAUAUAANAUACGAACACACUACUACUAUAUAUAUAUAUAUAUAUAUAUAUAUAUAUAUAUAUAUAGGGGGGCCGCUCCAAUGAGACCCCCUAAUUUUAGUGAGAUCUAGGACACGAUCUGAUGCGUUUAUUUUAUCAAUCCUAUGGCUGAUAUUGUAUCUGGAGGGUGAUUUUUUCGCAGGGUUCGAAUCCUGGAGGGAGCAGAAUAUUUUAAAUUUUGUUAUUCAUCAGAAUAUAAUGCAUUGUUCAUCAGUAUAUACGGCCAUGUUCAUCAGUAUAUAUGUCUUAUUCAUUACCAAUUUUUAAAUUUAAUUUUCAUCAGUAUAUAUAUCUUGUUUAUUAGAUAUACGUUUUGUUCAUUAGUAUUAUAUGUCUUAUUCAUUGUACUCAUGUUACACAAAAAUAUGGGGUCUCACUGGAGCGCGCCCCUAAGUAUAUAUAUAUAUAUAUAUAUAUAUAUAUAUAUAUAUAUAUAUAUAAAUGCGAUUAGAUCAGUUGUAUAUUUGAACAUAUAUAUUAGAUAUAACUAAUUUUAAGCUUUGAUAUAGGAGUUUAGUUUAAGUUAUUGUAGGAUCUAUAUUAAAGCAUUUUAUUCAUUGAAUUAGGUGCGGUGCGAUUAAGUCCCUCAUUCCGAAUUUGAUUUAUUAGCUUCGUCGUUAAGGUGAGGGAUUAUAUGCUUGUCGUUAUAUUCAUGUAUGUUUGAAUGUGCUUUUAGUUCAUGUUUGAUUAUACUUGCUCAGAUACAUGUCUAGAUACAUGUUCAGAAUAUCAUGUUCAAGUACAUGAUCAGAAACGCAAAAUAUCAUGUUCAAGUACAUGAUCAGAAACGCAGAAUAUCAUGUUCAAGUACAUGAUCAAAAACUCAGAAUAUCAUGUUCAAGUACAUGAUCAGAAAUUCAGAAACACUCAGAAUUCAUAAUAUGUGUAUGACAAUGUGUUUUAUUUGCAUGAUUAAGCAUAUGUGAAUAUGUGCAUGUUUCCUGACUGAGUAUAUUUUCAAUAUGCUCACCUCUUAUCUUCUCAGUUUUGCAGUUCUGGAGUCGAGGUGGCCAUGGAAGUCGAGAAUGACUAG
rnacentral:lncRNA from 1 species